CCUACGGGUGGCAGCAGUGAGGAAUAUUGGGCAAUGGAGGCAACUCUGACCCAGCCAUGCCGCGUGAGUGAAGAAGGUUUUCGGAUUGUAAAGCUCUUUCGGAUGUGACGUUGCUGACGGUAGCAUCUAAAGAAGCCCCGGCUAACUUCGUGCCAGCAGCCGCGGUAAUACGAAGGGGGCAAGCGUUUUUCGGAAUUACUGGGAGUAAAGGGGAUGUAGGCGGUUUAGUAAGAUAGUGGUUAAAUCCUAGGGCUUAACUUUGGAAUUGCCAUUAUAACUAUUAGACUAGAAUUACUGAGAGGAUAGUGGAAUACCUAGUGUAGAGGUGAAAUUCGUAGAUAUUGGGUAGAACACCAGUGGCGAAGGCGACUAUCUGGCUGUACAUUGACGCUGAGGCUCGAAAGCAUGGGGAUCAAACAGGAGUAGAUACCCGGGUAGUC
rnacentral:rRNA from 1 species